rnacentral:sRNA from 16 species
CCAGGUCCCUCAGACAUCCCUUGGCCGCCUCGUUGGCUCAGUUUGUGCUCUCAUGGGGGUUCUGACGAUUGCUCUUCCGGUCCCUG